AGAGUUUGAUCCUGGCUCAGGACGAACGCUGGCGGCGCGCCUAACACAUGCAAGUCGAACGAGCGAGAGAGAGCUUGCUUUCUCGAGCGAGUGGCGAACGGGUGAGUAACGCGUGAGGAACCUGCCUCAAAGAGGGGGACAACAGUUGGAAACGACUGCUAAUACCGCAUAAGCCCACGGGUCGGCAUCGACCAGAGGGAAAAGGAGCAAUCCGCUUUGAGAUGGCCUCGCGUCCGAUUAGCUAGUUGGUGAGGUAACGGCCACAAGGCAACGAUCGGUAGCCGGACUGAGAGGUUGAACGGCCACAUUGGGACUGAGACACGGCCCAGGACCUCCGUACGGGAGCA
rnacentral:rRNA from 1 species